UUGUGUUGUGGCACAGAACAUGAGUCGCCCAGACAACCGUGACGGCAAGGGUUAUGUACUCCCAGAUUUUGGUGGCCUGCAUGCAUCAAUUGCCGCUGUGUCCAGUGGCAACCCCUUGAGGUCGUCCCUUGAAACUAAAAUAGUUGACGCGGUGUAUCAGUCAAUGGUCGUUACCACACUGUAUCCAUCUCAUCUGUUCUACCACAAAGCUGUGAGCAUGUUACUGGAGCGAUAUCCACAUCUUGCGGACACCAUUGGGGAUGGAUUUGUUAGUACCAGUAUCCACUGAUGUUUUUUCUUUUUUUAUCCUAUGACCACUCACUGAAAGGAAAAAAAAAUUCAAUUUUCUCUGCACCUCUUUGUAAGCGAGAGAAGCAGUGGUGACAUUUUCUGCAUUGUUCCGUGCAUUCCUCGAGUUCAAAGUUAAGACCCUUGCCUCUCCCAGGUAUAGUCUGCUUGUAGAAAUAUUGGUUUAUCUGCUCCGCCUUUUACUUACUGAAAUUAGGUGUACGACUUUAUGUGCUUAACGCAGAAGCACUUCCUCAGCGAGUCUAAGGGGAUUUUUGUUUGCAAUGGUCUAUACUCGCUACUGGAAGAUGAACCCUGAGGUAAGGACAAAAAGGGGACGACACGACAGAAUUUCCCCUUUGUCCUUAUCUCAAGGUUCAUCAUCUAGUAUGUCAUACCAGCUACACUG